rnacentral:rRNA from 1 species
AGAGUUUGAUCCUGGCUCAGGAUGAACGCUAGCGGCAGGCUUAACACAUGCAAGUCGAGGGGUAACGAUGGCUUCGGCCAGGCGACGACCGGCGCACGGGUGCGUAACGCGUAUGCAACCUACCUGUUACAGGGGGAUAGCCCGAAGAAAUUCGGAUUAAUACCCCAUAACAUAUAUUAUCGCAUGGUAAUAUAUUGAAAACUCCGGUGGUAACAGAUGGGCAUGCGUGACAUUAGCUAGUUGGUAAGGUAACGGCUUACCAAGGCAACGAUGUCUAGGGGUUCUAAAAGGAAGGUCCCCCACACUGGUACUGAGACACGGACCAGACUCCUACGGGAGGCAGCAGUGAGGAAUAUUGGGCAAUGGAGGCAACUCUGACCCAGCCAUGCCGCGUGCAGGAAGACGGCCCUAUGGGUUGUAAACUGCUUUUCUGAAGGAAUAAAGACUAGUACGUGUACUAGGUUGAAUGUACUUCAAGAAUAAGCACCGGCUAACUCCGUGCCAGCAGCCGCGGUAAUACGGAGGGUGCAAGCGUUAUCCGGAUUUAUUAGGUUUAAAGGGUCCGCAGGCGGUUAUAUAAGUCAGUGGUGAAAUUCUGCAGCUUAACUGUAGCACUGCCAUUGAUACUGUAUAACUUGAGUUCAGACGAGGUAGGCGGAAUGUGUAAUGUAGCGGUGAAAUGCUUAGAUAUUACACAGAACACCGAUUGCGAAGGCAGCUUACUAGACUGUAACUGACGCUCAUGGACGAAAGCGUGGGGAGCGAACAGGAUUCGAUACCCUGGUAGUCCACGCCGUAAACGAUGAUCACUAGUUGUUGGCGAUACACUGUCAGUGACUGAGCGAAAGCAUUAAGUGAUCCACCUGGGGAGUACGUCGGCAACGAUGAAACUCAAAGGAAUUGACGG